GUCAGUAGCAGUCUCUGCGAUCACAGGUGUUCCGCUAUCCCUAGCGGGCUUGACUGCAAGGCAUCGUGUUGUUGACGACGUCGAGACGUAGGCGAGACGCGGGCGGAGAGAGGAGAGAGCUUCCGCUGGAAACAGGAAGAGCUGCGAAAGCACUUACUUUUGUUUUUUCUUUGUUUGCCCCGGGUCACCACGUGCGUGAUAGCAGUAAUUUAAAAAGCGCCACACAAUGCUUCGGACUUGGCACAACACGAUCGGCACGAACUGUGGUGAUGAAGGGGUCUGAGCCACCUCCUUCGAGGGACGUUGUUGUCAACAUGCGACCGAUACCGGGAGUCGGAUAUUGGGCGGCCCUCCUCGUGUGCGCCACGCUGCUUCUCAUCAGUCCGGUGGCGUCCAGCCUGCACAUCCUCCACCUGUCGGUGCCCAAGUGGGUGCAGAACGGCACCGAGGACUCCGUGGUUCUGGACUGCGUGUACAACGCGAACCGCGAGGACGAGCACCUGGUGAUCAAGUGGUUCCUCAACGACGACCCGCACCCCAUCUACCAGUGGAUCCCAGAGCUGAACAAGCGGUUCGUGUCCAGUCGCCUCAAGGAUCGCAUCAACCUGGACUACUCGCUCACCAACGGAAACAGCUUCACCAAGUUCCGCGCGCUCAACCUGGUGCGGCCAACCACCGAGCUGAGUGGCCGAUACUCCUGCCACGUCAUGUCGCUCGCGGGUCAAGACUCCGAGUCCAAGCUCAUGACCGUCUACGCUCCUCCCAAGAGGUUUGACUUCACCUACGAGCGGGUGUCGGCGCACGUGACGAACCUGUCGUGCGAGGCGGACGGCGUGUUCCCACAGCCGACGCUGUUCCUCUACCAGAGCAGCGGCCGGGACCCCGUGUCGCGACCUGUGGCAUCGGCGCCUGCCAGAAUGGCAGCCCCAACCCCCGCGGAAGGCGCUGCCGGCUACCACGUGCGCCUGACGUACGCGCUCGACAGCCGCACGCUGGACGUGUCCGGGCACGUAGAGUACGUGUUCGAGUGCGUGCUUGCCAUCCCGGAGACCAACUAUAGGCAGCAGCGACGGCUAGAGUUUGAACCCGGACGAUUGGUCAGCACAGCGAGCCGACUUUACACCGUGGACAUUUUGCUGAGGGUGCUGACAGGCGUGUUCGCACUGAUGGAUCUCGCAUAGCAACCGGCGCACUAGCAGGAAUGACGUCGCUGGAAUCAAAACCAAAGAACCAAGUAGGAGGAUCGCGUGCAUUUCACAACGUCGAAUGUAGAACGACGUCCUUGCCCGGUAUGCCGUCGCUUGAAAGAGAGCGGUGGUCGAAACGUCGGUCACCGCGCCCACUAUGUCGCCCGUCACGGACAUCCAUGUCCACAAGCAUCAGUGCCUCCUGUUCAAGCGUGCAGAGCGCAAGCGUGUGCUCGUCUUCGAUGCGCGAACAUCUACGCGCGUGCACUUGUGUGUGUGUGUGUUUUCGUUUUGCGCGCUUGUGACUCGCUCUCUAUCUCCACAGCGACGUUGGACAGCAGAGCACAUCCGAAACGUCACAUUGCAGUCCGCGUCACCGUUCGCUUCCGAAACUUCCCAUUUCCGAGUAAUGCCUCUAUUAUUUUCUUAAACAUGUCGCACUCUCUUAAGACUCCACAUGGCACUUCCUCACUUUCCAGCACGUUGGCCAUGUCCCCUCUAAUGGACCAUACUCUCACAACGUUUGAAAAAAAAAUGCAUCCGACUCAGUGAUUACAGUGUGUAGUCUCUUCUGUCGCUGAUUUUGCAGAAGGCCUCGUACGCGCAGCCAUCAAACUCACCGUGACAUCACCGUCAUCUAAAAAAAAGGAAAGAAAGAAAGAAAGAAAGAAAGAAAAAGCGGAUGAGAGACACGACGCAGUAGUGUCGGAAUAGGCCACGGUAGUGAUGACGUUGACGAAAGCAAGUUGUUAUGUGACGAACAACAUCCACUGUGAAAACUGUCGGUAUUCGACAUCGUAUUUGACGUGCCAGCCUGGUGCACAAUUUAAACAAAACAGCUCAUUCGGAUACCCACGUGAUAUUUGCGAAGCCUACUCGCAAGGAAGGACAGUUGCCAACUUCCGUCUUGUAAAACGGCUACAUUUAAUGGCGGCUUUUUAUCUUUUGAUUGGUCGAACUUGUAUGGGCGGUGCCCCGUCAUAGGCGAUCAGCUUCGAAAACGGCUCGAGAAGCCCCUCAUCUCACACAAACCGGCGCCGUGACGGUGACGUAACGGGGAAUUUGACGGCUGUAUGAACGAGACGUAAUGCUGCAGGGCGUGAUAUUUUUAUCAAAAGGGCCGUUGUGGCACUGACACAGAAAAAUAUUUGAGCAUAGUUCAAGAGUUAAAUCUACGGUAAGGGAUAAAAAAACAGAAAUGCUACAGGGCUGAAGCAGCGUAAGAAUACGUUAAACCACAGAAAACGCAGAAAAACCAAAUUUUUCGGGAAAUUAAUGGUGCACGUAGUUCAGAAAUUAUCGAUGUCGCGCUCCGAAAGAGCGCCUGUCGCAGAGUACGAAAAUGUGUUAGUCAGCUUUUUACUCCGAAGAUCGCAAUAUUUUAGGGAUUUAUGCUUUAACUGUCAGUUUUGUAGUAGUUUCCAGCUUCAAUUUCUGGCGAAGUUGUGUUGUGGUAAAGUGCGAAUAAUAGAACUGACGGCUUGAUUUACUUAGUUGAUAUUUCGGUGUUCUGUUGCGUAUGCAUAAGCUUCAGCUGUGUACUUUGCACAUACACAUUCCGGAAGUUUCAUGUAGCACACACAGCAUAAUCGUCAUGCAGGGGCAAAUGCCAAACGAUGCUUCUCAGAACAAAACCGAAGAAAAAGAAGCGUAGUCCAGAAAACUACAAACGCGUUCAUAUAGAACAGUAUCGUCCACUGUAGCGCAGCCACAAAAUUCUUAUUUGAAGACUGGCGCCAUUGCGUUUUUAGGCAGAAAAUUUUGACUAAAGCUCGAUUAGCACUUGCCACAGGGCAAGCGUUUGUCAUCGUCCCUUCCCCCAAGAAAGCUGUAUUUUGUAUGUUUCCGCAAGUUUAUAUGUAAAAAGUUCCUCCUAUAACAUGUUAUAAAAGUUUGUUCCCACCG